rnacentral:rRNA from 1 species
UACAGAGGGUGCAAGCGUUGUUCGGAAUCAUUGGGCGUAAAGGGCGUGUAGGCGGUUUGUUAAGUCAUGUGUGAAAUCCCUCGGCUUAACCGGGGAACUGCGUCUGAUACUGGAUGGCUUGAGUGUGGGAGAGGGAUGCGGAAUUCCAGGUGUAGCGGUGAAAUGCGUAGAUAUCUGGAGGAACACCGGUGGCGAAGGCGGCAUCCUGGACCAUUACUGACACUGAAAAGCGAAAGCCAGGGGAGCAAACGGG